rnacentral:lncRNA from 1 species
UCCAGAAAUGUCGGCAAUUCCUCAGUGGGAAGUUGGUGGUUUGUGUGCAGGGGGGUGUUAGGAAAGGAGCCAGGAGAAACUAAAGGAAGCUGAGUUAAGAACGAGAGCAGAGAUUAUCCAUUGCUCUGUUUUUGCAGUAAGCGAGGUGCCAAUGGAUAUUAACAACAUCAACAACAAGCCAUAACCAUGCAGCAGAAUCUAAUUGCAGGCCUACAGUGCACAGCCGUCUAUUACAGUGAACACUCCUAUUGCUUCCUGGUACCUUCCAGUGAAUGGCUUCAACACUGAGACCAUGAACCGUGGCCAAUUUUUUCCUUUCUUCUUAGACUAUAACUUUGGUAAACCCUUCUGUUGCUUUCUGGUACCAUCUAGUGGAUGGUAUGAACACUGCAGCUGCUUUGUUCUCCAGCACAAACAAGCUUCUCGCACUGCAGUGCAUCCAGAAACAUCU